rnacentral:rRNA from 1 species
GAUGAACGCUAGCGGCAGGCCUAAUACAUGCAAGCUGAACGGCAAGAUUUGUAGCAAUACGAGUCCUAGAGUAGCGUAAGGGUGCGUAACACGUAUGCAAUCUGCCCGCAACAGGAGGAUAGCUUAGCGAAAGUUGAGAUAAGACUCCAUAAGAUCACGAGAGGGCAUCUGAUUGUGAUUAAACUACAAGGGGUUGCGGAUGAGCAUGCGUCUGAUUAGUUAGUUGGCGGGGUAACGCCCACAAGACGAUGAUCAGUAGGGGAACU